CCUACGGGGGGCUGCAGUAAGGAAUAUUGGUCAAUGGACGAAAGUCUGAACCAGCCAUCCCGCGUGCAGGAUGAAAGCCCUAUGGGUUGUAAACUGCUUUUAGCAGAGAAGAAAAGCUUCCAUUUAUGGGGGUCUGACGGUAUCUGCAGAAUAAGCACCGGCUAACUCCGUGCCAGCAGCCGCGGUACUACGGAGGGUGCGAGAGUUAUUCGGAUUUACUGGGUUGAAAGCGGAGGAUGAAGUAGUUGUAGAAAUCUUGUCGCUUAACGAUAAAAUUGCCAAUGAUACUGGUACUCUUGAAUUGGGUUGAGGUUAGCGGAAUGUGACAUGUAGCGGUGAAAUGCAUAGAUAUGUCAUGGAACACCAAUUGCGAAGGCAGCUAACUGGGCCUUGAUUGACGCUGAGGCACGAAAGCGUGGGUAGCGAACAGGAUUAGAUACCCGUGUAGUC
rnacentral:rRNA from 1 species